GCACAAGCGGAGGAGCAUGUGGCUUAAUUCGAUGCAACGCGAAGAACCUUACCAGGGCUUGACAUGCAGCUGCACAUCCGGUGAAAGCCGGACUCUUUCGAAGGUGCCGCACAGGUGCUGCAUGGCUGUCGUCAGUUCGUGCCGUGAGAUGUCGGGUUAAGUCCCUUAACGAGCGAAACCCUUGUGAAUAGUUGCCAGCACGUAAUGGUGGGGACUCUAUUCAGACUGCCCGGGUCAACCGGGAGGAAGGUGGGGAUGACGUCAGGUCAGUAUGGCCCUUACGCCUUGGGCUGCACACGUACUACAAUGCCCAGUACAAUGAGAACCGAUACCGCGAGGUGGAGGAAAUCUAUAAAACUGGGCCCAGUUCGGAUUGGAGGCUGCAACUCGCCUCCAUGAAGUUGGAAUCGCUAGUAAUGGCACAUCAGCUACGGUGCCGUGAAUACGUUCCCGGGUCUUGUACACACCGCCCGUCACAUCAUGGAAGCCGAUCGCACCCGAAGUAUCUGCGCUAACUAUUUAUAGAA
rnacentral:rRNA from 1 species